UCUCUCCCAAAUAAAUGGCAGGUUAGGGGACUGUAGGCCUUGAUUGUAGGAUUGCUACAUCAAUUUUCCAACCUGAGACUGUGAGUUCUCCUCAGGAUGGUGACCCUGUCUGAGGGAAGCUGAUGAAGCCCUACAGGAGGGAGAUCUGAGUCAUGAGAGCCUUCUCAUGGAAAUUUACUUCCUGGCCUCCUUUCUGCUGCACACUGAGAACAGAAGAUGAACUAGGACAUGGUAGAGGGAAGCUGCAAUGGUACAGUGCUGAGUGUGUGCUCCAAGAAGAGCCAGCAGAAGAGAGGAAUUUCUGCAGAUGAUGCAAGCUUGUAUUUGUCCUCAACAGCCAGGCCAGGAGAAGGAUGAACCUCCUGGUGUCAACAUCCAUAUCUGACAAGCAGGAAGACACAUGAUUCCUCU